CAACAGGGAUUGCCCUAGUAACGGCGAGUGAAGCGGCAACAGCUCAAAUUUGAAAUCUGGCUUCGGCCCGAGUUGUAAUUUGCAGAGGAUGUUUAUGGUGCGGUACCUUCCGAGUUCCCUGGAACGGGACGCCACAGAGGGUGAGAGCCCCGUCUGGUUGGAUACCAAACCUGUGUUAAACUCCUUCAACGAGUCGAGUAGUUUGGGAAUGCUGCUCUAAAUGGGAGGUAAAUCUCUUCUAAAGCUAAAUACCGGCCAGAGACCGAUAGCGCACAAGUAGAGUGAUCGAAAGAUGAAAAGCACCUUGAAAAGGGGGUUAAACAGUACGUGAAAUUGUUAAAAGGGAAGCGUUUCUGACCAGACUUGUGUCGUGUGGCUCAUCCGGGGUUCUCCCCGGUGCACUCCACACGGUUCAGGCCAACAUCGGUUCUCGUUGGGGGAUAAGAACAGUAGGAACGUGGCCCUCUUCGGAGGGUGUUAUAGCCUGCUGUACGAUACCCUGAUGGGGACCGAGGACCGCGCUUCGGCUAGGAUGUUGGCGUAAUGGUCAGUAGCGACCCGUCUUGAAACACGGACCAAGGAGUCGUCCAUUAGAGCGAGCGUUUGGGUGUAAAACCCGCACGCGUAAUGAAAGUGAAAUUAGGUGAGAGCUUCGGCGCAUCAUCGACCGAUCCUGAAGUUUACGGAUGGAUUUGAGUAAGAGUUUUAACGGACGGACCCGAAAGACAGUGAACUAUGCUUGAAUAGGGUGAAGCCAGAGGAAACUCUGGUGGAGGCUCGCAGCGGUUCUGACGUGCAAAUCGAUCGUCAAAUUUGAGCAUGGGGGCGAAAGACUAAUCGA
rnacentral:rRNA from 1 species